GUACGUAGGGGGCGAGCGUUGUCCGGAAUGAUUGGGCGUAAAGGGCGCGUAGGCGGCCCGGUAAGUCUGGAGUGAAAGUCCUGUUUUUAAGAUGGGAAUUGCUUUGGAUACUGUCGGGCUUGAGUGCAGGAGAGGUAAGUGGAAUUCCCAGUGUAGCGGUGAAAUGCGUAGAGAUUGGGAGGAACACCAGUGGCGAAGGCGACUUACUUGACUGUAACUGACGCUGAGGCGCGAAAGUGUGGGGAGCAAACAGGAUUAGAUACCCUGGUAGUCCACACUGUAAACGAUGAAUGCUAGGUGUAGGGGGUAUCGACCCCUUCUGUGCCGCAGUCAACACAAUAAGCAUUCCGCCUGGGGAGUACGGCCGCAAGGUUGAAACUCAAAUGAAUUGACGGGG
rnacentral:rRNA from 1 species